AAAAGUCCAAAGAUGGGGGUUCGGUUUCAAAGAAGGGGAGUAGGUAAAGUGGUUAUCUGAUUGCUUUUUGAUUGAUUGAAUCAACCUUGCAAUGCUAAGCAUUUAUAGCAAACCCAUCAUAAGCAGAAAGAGUUUGAACUUUCUGAUGAGUGGUUGUUACAAUGGUUGAGUAGAAUACUAUCUAUCAUGUGUUCAUGUCAUGCAAGUAGCUGAGAUAAGAGUUGUGGGUCUUAGGAAUAAUGGUUGAUUGAAUCAACCUUGCAAUGCCAUCAUAUACAGAAAGAGUUUGAACUUUUUGAUGGGUAAAAAAACUUUUGAUGUGGUUGUUGCGAUGCUUGGGUAGAAUACCAUCACGUUGUGGAUCUUAGGAAUAGUUUUAUUGGGAUUGCUUGAUAAGAAGUUGAAGUUUUUGUGCGUG
rnacentral:lncRNA from 1 species